rnacentral:misc_RNA from 1 species
AAGUCGUAACAAGGUUUCCGUAGGUGAACCUGCGGAAGGAUCAUUAACGAAAAGCAUGUUUGUCUAUGAACGGGGGGCGCGGUAGCUCCCCGGGAAGAGACAUCCAUCCAACUUCUCACGUGCACGAUCGCGAGGCUUCGCUGGCCUCACCUUAGAGUACAUAUUAGAACGACACUUUCUCGUGUUGAUUUACAUCACACGAAACAAAUACAACUUUCAGCAACGGAUCUCUUGGCUCUC